GCUGCAUACUCAGACUUCGAACUCAGGAGAGGACUGGUUUCCUCUCAAAUGUGAUGGAAGAGUAAAGUUCAGUGGUGAACAGCAAGUUAUGUUGUGAAGUGGAUGAAAUUCAAGCAUAAAUUAUCCUGUCAAGAUAGUCUGUAACUACUGGAAAUUACUCAAAGAAAUCUGCACUGGUGUUGAACAAUACAGGCUGAUGGUUAUUUUCCACUACCCAAUACAAUCUAAAAUAAUGGAACUAUUUACAUGAAAGUAUAUAAAUUACUCAGUUCUAAGAACACUGAUGUUUUCCAUCCAAACAGCCACAGGUUGUACAGAAGCAUUAAAACUCUUUGUGUUUGCAUUUUGGCAGGGCACCCCUGGAGAAAAGCCCUGUGUACUCUGCUCUCCAUUUGCUUCCCAAAAGGGCAGAUUGUGCCAUUAUCCUUCUUUGAAAGCCUUUACCACAGUGUUCUUGCCACCUCUCUGAACAGGGAAACAGAUGCUGAAAUAUUUAUUACACGGUGUAACAGACAGAUAACAUACAAAUGCCAAAAAUUAUGUUUUGCCAUUGUUUCUGCCUGUCAAAAAACUUCCUACCAAAAAUUCUGUGUCAGUUUUCCACCAGAAGUUCUCACCAGAAUUUUCCCACUGGAGUUUUCCUGCCAAAGGAUCCUGUUAUUGUUCAUGGUUAUCAUACCUCUGCGAAUAUCUGAAUAAGGCUACGUGCCAAGAAACCACACACAAACUCCUUUAAACACUAUAAAAGAUGAAGAGAAAUUUGGGAAAAGCAGGGAAAGAGGAGUAGGAAAGAGAAUUAGCUAUAGCAGCUAGGGAUCUCUCCUCUGCCUUGCCCUCACCUUCUGCCACUGUAAGCUGCCUGCCAUUACCAGAGACUGGACUUUUGCCAUCUUGAAGUGGACCGAGGCCCACCGUGCCACCUGCAUGAGUUCUCCACCCUGACCAUAUUUCUGAGGGCCAAGAGGUGCAGUUGGACCAAGACCUCUGCACGGCCUGGGACAUGGUUGGUGUGAGCAGCGAAGCCCACAUCGUGGCUGCCUUCCAGAGAACUAAGACCUCCUGCAGCUAAAGAGA
rnacentral:lncRNA from 1 species